AAAAAAAAAACUAUAGAAAAGAAAAUGAAUUAAAGCUUUCGAUUGGUGUAGGCGAUGAGAAUAGAAAAGACCAUGUAGCAAUGAUUUCAACAGCUCAGCAACUUAAAUAAAAAAUUUUGAAUAAUUAAAUAAUAUUUUGUAACUUUUUAAAGUUGAAUAAUCGACACGUAAUUUUACUUAUAGUUUAAUGACUUUGAAUGUAAUUUAAAUUAUUUAAAAUAAAUAGUAUUGUUAAAUAUAAAUAUCAUAAAUCUAAAAGGUAAAUAGUAAAAUUUGAAAAUCAAUAAACUAGUGUAAAAUGUUUUGUAACGUCCCCUACCCGUAUUCGUUGCCGGAAUAGGGUACGAGGUAUUACUGGAGUUUACGAAUUAAUUUUUAAUUUUUUAACUCAAUAUAAUCCCUUUAUAGACAUCUGACUUUCCCUGCAAUUUUAAACUGAAACCACUUCACAUCAAUCAAUCCAAUUCAACAUAUUUUCAAGAUAGAUUCAUGCAUUUUUAUAAGAUAACUUCAUCACAUAACGAAACCAAGAUUUGUUAGUCAUACCAAUGGCUGACUUACAUUCAUUUCACAUUAACAUUUACUUUAUUGGCUUAUAAAUGUCAUUGAUUUCCAAAAUAAAAUUUUUUUAUAUACCGAAAUCUUGAGGUUGAUAGUGUGAUUUGUCUCUAAACGAAUCUGACUUCUAAGCUCUUAACACUACAGAACAGGGGAAAAAGAAACAAGGGAAGCACUUUGUGCUUAGUAAGCUCAUGUAACAAGAAUUAUACUUAACUAAUAGUUUCAAUAUAAUGAAAUAAACAUUUAUAUAUCCAUUUAAUGCGUUAUUACCCUAACAUACACAAACUCAACAUUCAAGUUAGUUCAAUAAUUUCCAUGUAUCAAUAAUAUAUACUAUGAUUGAUAUUCCCUUAUUAUUUUUCUAUAUUUAUUCCGUUAAAUUUUUCGAAAUUUUUUAUGGAUUUUCAGAGGUACUUUUUUAGUGUGUAAUUUUCGGGUUUGUCAAUUCAUAUUCAUUUGAGCACAUUUUCAUUUCAGAGAGCAAACUCCCGCAAACCUCAUUCUUACAACGGGAUUACUAAUUUAGGCUAAAUCUCCUGUAAUAUAAACUAAUAGAGUAUUGUCGGGUUUACCAGUACAGGCUAAAUCCCUUGCAACGACAAUUACUCUAAUGAGUUUAGAUCUAAAUUAACAGUCCAAGCUAAAUUCAGACUCUAAUUUGGAUUACCCGUCCGGGUUAAAUCCAUUUUACACAUUCUUCGGGCAGGCUAUAUUAAGAUAGGAUCACCCAUUCGAGCUAGAUCCUUUUUACAGUUAAUUCCUUUUCAGAGAUAUAUUUUAUCGGGAUUUCUUCCUCAUUUUUAUCAAAUAUAUUAAUGUUUCAUCAAUUUUCAUAUAAUGAACAUUCAAAUCAUAUUUACAUCAAUAACAUACAUUUCAAGUAUUUAAUAAUAUAAUUCAAAUUAUACGAACCUACCUCGAUACUUGUUUGUAUACAAAAAUAUACUAAUCUCGAACUUUUUCCUUUCCUCGAUCUAGCUUCGUAUUUGAAUUUUCUGGAUCUAAAUAAAUAAAUUUAAUUAUCAAUUUAAUACAUUUUAUGUUCAUAUGCAACAUUCUUUAUAAUUCUACUAUUAUUUAUAGUUCAUUUAAAGCUGUCUACUUGAGUCAUAAUAACUAAAUUAUUUUUAUCUUGAGUUAUAGAACUUCAAAUUAGGAUCCGUUAAUUUUCCCUGAAACUAUAAUCACAUAUCUUCUUACCAUAAAAAUUUCAGAAAUUUCAGAAUUUUUGAUUUAGCCAAUCAGUACAGUUUCUUCUUUAAAUUCACCCAUGUUCUGCUGUUUGACCGUUCUAACAUUUCUUCCCUAAAAAUUAAUCAUCUCUUCAUACAGGAUUUGUAUGAUGUUCCCGUUUGUUUCUAUUGAAAAUAGAUUGAUUCAGGAUUCUAAACAUAUAAAUUUAAGCCCAUAAAUUUUUUUUUUUAUUUUUUUAUAUUUUUUUAAAGUCAGAACAGGGAAACUUGAAUUUUCUCUGACAUUGUCUCACAAAUUUUAUUAUAUCUCAUGAUUUACAAUUCUAUUGCUUACAUCAUUUCUUCUAUGAGAAACUAGACUCAAUAAGCUUUAAUUCUAUAUUUUGUUCAUCUUCUAAUUCAAUUUCCACAAUUUAUGGUGAUUUUUCAAAGUUAGCCUUCUGUUGCUGUCCAAAACUGUUUUAGUGCAAGAUGUUUAUUGUCAUUUUUUCCCUAAGCUUUUAAUAAAUGAUAAUUUCGUCCCUACUAAAUUAGUCUCUCAAUUGAGCUGAUUUUUCUUAAUUAACACUUAAUUAUAUCACCUUAGACUACUUUAUAACCUUUGGGAAUUAGAAUUUUAGCACUAGAUUUUAAUUACAAACAUUUUCACAAUUAGGUCCUAAAAAUCAAAUUCUAUUGAAAUUACCUAAUAAAAUCAUCUCAUAAACAAAUUAAAGCUUUAAUUUCAUGCUAUUUCAUUAUAAACUUACAGCACUCAACCAUGGUGACUUUCAAUUUCAUCCAUAAAAUCAAAAACUAAUGAAUUUAAUAGUAGGCCCUAGUUGUAAAAGUCUUAGAAAUACAAAAAUUACAAGAAAUAGGUAAGGAUUAACUUACUUGGUGCAAAAAUUAUGAAAUACCAACUUAAAGAACUCCUCCUAUGGUGUUUUGGCCGAUGAGAAUGAAGAAAAAUGAAGAGAAAUCAAGAUAUUUCCUAUUUAGUCCUAUCUUUAUUUAGUUGAUUAUGCAAUAGUCUAAUUUUGUCCUUAAAUCAUCAAUUUUCCAGCUGAUUUCAUGCCCUUACCGUCCAGCCCAAAUAAAUUUUGGGUCUAAUUGCUUUUUAAAUCUUUUCUCAUUAGACACAUAAGCUAUUUAAUCAUUCUAGCAACUUUUGCACCUUUUGCAAUUUAGUUCUUUUCAUUUAAUUAACUACCCAAACAUUAAAAUUUCCUAACGAAAUUUAAAAAAAAAAUAAUACCACAUUACUAACAUUUCAUAAAUAUUUAUAAAAAAUAUUUUCGACUCUCGAUACCUUGUUUUUACCCGAUUUCUUCAAUAAAUUUUUUUUCUAACUAACCACUAAAUCGGUUAAAUUUUUCUAUCGAUAUUUUCAUACGAUUUUCCUAUCAUAUCAAUAUUCAUGCAAAAAUAUUAAAAUAAAUUUAUCUUUAAAUCAGAUUUGUGGUUAUGAAACCACUGUUUCGAUAACCUUGAAUUUAGGCCAUUACAUGUUUAACGGAUGAUAUAAUUUUAAAAAAGAAAUAAAUUUAUCAAGUGAUAAAUAUAUAUUAUUAUAAAUAUUAGAUCACGAUAAAACAAUUGUUUAAAAGUAUAUAUUUAUUUAAAAAUUAUGUCAAAUGAUAAAGUUGGAGAUUUAAAUUUUAUUUUUUGUAGAUUUUUUUUUGAGUUUAGAUAAAAAUAUAAGAAGAUAAAAACAUGUUUAUAUAAUAUAAUUUAUUUUGUAAAAAGUAUGAUUUUUAAUUUUUUUUAAUUGAAUGAUAGUAUAGAUAUAUUAUUGGUUUAAUAUAUUAUUCGGUACCUGAGUUUGAUACAUUUUUUUAAUGUGGUACCUAUAUUAUUUUUUUAAUUUAAUUUAAUGUAUGUGGUACCUAUAUUAUUUUUUUGAUUCAAUUUAAUAUAUGGAUUUAAUAAAAAUUAUAUAUUUUAAUAGUCUAAUAUAAUGAUUUUAACUUUUUAGAAAGAUAUUGUGCUAAAUAUGAAUAAAGAUAAGAUAUGAUACAAAAUUUAUGUUUUUGUAACAAUAAACCGGUUAUACUUUAAUUUCUAAUAAAAUUACAUCCUAUAUUUUUAUAAUUAUACUCAUGGUAUCAACGAACCACAUAUAUCACCACACAUAUAUAUAUACACACACAAUAUUUUUGAGACUCGAGAUAAAUAUUAGAUACAAGUAUGUGUUUGAUAUAAUGAUACUCACCCUUUUAAAAACAAAUCUUUUUCAUAUAUUCAAAGAUACAAAUAUUUUGAAAAAAUAAUACGAGUUAAAAGUAACACAGUAUAUAUAUACAUAUAUAACAGUAGCAGCUUAACUGAGUUGAGUGAAGUGGCAACAAGUCAUCUUUGGCUCAAACCUGCUCUUUAUAUCUUCAUGAAAGACACUUCCACGACCAAAAAUGACAUAUAUAUAUAAUCAUGUGAUGUGCUGCGGUAGUUGCUGCUAAAUGUUUAUAGGUAGAGGUGGGAAUGUAGGUUGACUUUUUUGGAAAUGGAGGAAUAACAUAACACCAUGUUUUUUUUUAUGUUGAGAAUAAUGAAUACAUACCAAAUAGAAUAUAUAUAGUACAAAAUACAAUCUUCAUUUUUUCUCCCUUUUUAUGUUCUCAAUUUGACCCUUGUGGAAAUUCAAACAACACCAAUCCACUCCUUCUAAUACAAUCGAAUCGAGAACUGGUUAAGGUAUUUAUUCGAAGAAGGGGAUUGAACUAGUAUGGACCGAUUGAAUUUGAAUCAGAUUUUUAAGUUUUGUUAAAUGAUUUUUUUAAUAAUUUAUUUGAUCGAAUUGAAUGGACCGAUUGAAGUAAUCAAAUCGGUUAAAUUGAUGAACUGAUAAUUUGACCAAUUCAAUCAUCAGUUCAAUUCUAAAAACUUUAGUCAUAGCAUCCAUAGGGUUUAAAUGAAAGGUGAUUGGGCAUUGUGGGAAUAUAAUUUUUUGAGAGGAUAUGGAGAUGAAUAGUUACAUGCAUUGGUCUUUCAUAUGUUGAGAUAUGUUGUUCAAAAUCAAAAAGAAUUAAAAAAGCAAAAAAAGAAAAAGAAAAAGAGUCAUGGGUCAAAACCCUAUUUUCUUUUUGGGUUGAAUUAUCUUUUUAAUUAUCUCUUAAUUUGGCAACACACUCUCAAACACUUACCUAAUUAAGAAAAAUAUCUAACUGAUUUGCAUGAUAUUGUGCUUAGUGAUGCUUCUUCCAUUUGAUUAAUGAAUUGCCCUAAUAGAGUGGGGUAGGGUGAUUUUGUUAAAUCUAUCAUCAUUCCAUAGCGGGUAUGUUUUACUCCACCACUAAUUUUGUUUCAUUAUUAAUGUAUGAUCUUGAUAAUCAUUAUCACUUUCAUUACCACUUUCAUGAUUUUUUUUAAUACAUUAGUACGUUUUACUGUCUUAAUAAUUAUAUAUAAAGAUAAAAAUGUAAUUUUAUAUAAUGAAACGAGAUGGGACAAACAAUUAUUAUAAUCGUUCUAUAUCCACUGUCCAAAACAAAAUUCAACGAAAAAAUUCACUCCAUUCAAAAUGAAUCAGAUCAAAAUCAAUAUAGCUAUUUUGAAUUUGUCAUCCCUAAAUUGUUUGUAUCCUAAUUAAUGUAGUUCCAUGUUUUACCAUUAGCUGGUACUUCCGUAUGAUUAUGAGCCUUAAGCCGAAAAAGGACUUAAUUUUGGACAUAAAAUGGAUCAUCAAAAGAUUGUUAGAUGGGCAUUGAGUAUGGUUGCUGAAUAAAAUUUAACUUAUUCAUCAAUAAGGUCCUUUAUAUUUCCAUUAAUAUAUUUAUUUAUGGUGUCUAGAUUUAGUAUCUAUUAGAUUUUGAUUCGAUUAGCAUCGACAUUAUUAUUAGUGUAAGAGGGCAUAGAUUCAAGUGCGUUGAAACGUAUUAUCCUCCUAUUUAAGGGUUAGGGAGGGGCUAUGAGUAGUUAUGAUAAAAACUUAUAAUGAAGUUUGUAAUCUCUAUCACAGUCGCGAAAAGAGUCGUCCCUUCCUUGUGGAAGUUCUUCUCAUGAAGAUACUGAAUGACCGAGGCGUAACUUUCGAGGUCAUUUACAAAUCCCACCCGGGUUACAUAAUGAACAACCUCAAAGAGUUUUCAUGCUUCAUUAAAUGAAUGCAUCAAAACCAGAUAUUCAAUAGGACUAGGAUGCAUAGCUAACUUGAUAUUCUUGCCAAAAACAGUUAAUACAUUUUGAAGUUGUUUCAUUUGACAAUAUUCAAAAAUCUCGAUGGUACAUUUAUACGAAAUGAGAUAUUUAGGUGUUGGUUUACUUUCCGGCUUAACACAUUUAUCUGACUUACUUUUCAAAAUGAGAUCUUUAGGUGGUGGGUUAGAAUAUGGAGCAAAACAGAAUAGUUUAGUAAUAGGAGAAGCAGAGCUACUUGGGGGUUUUAGUGACUUAACACAUUUUGUUUGGAAUUGAAGUUCAAUUGAAAAAAAAAUUCAAAAUAUUUUGUAUAUAGUAAAUGUUAACUUUGCAACAAAUUUAGACUUUUUAAUAUAGUGAUUAAAUUGAUUCAUUUAAUAAUAGAGGCACUAAUUUGAAAAAGAAGAAAAUUGGCCUGGGCCUUCCCAAUGAAAACCUGAAAUUGGUCCAUUAUAACAGCCAUAACCAAUGGUGGGUUCUAAGAGCCAGUUCUUCAUUGCUUUUGAAAAGUGCUGUGGAAAAGUACUUUUGAGAAGUACUUUUGAAAAGUGUUUUGGAAAAAUUUAAGUGUUUGAUAUUGCUGUCAAAAAGUGCUUUUAAAAAGUAAAAUGUCUAUUUUAGACAUGAUAUUAUAAAGUAACAAAUAUGUAUUUAAAUAAUGUUCAAAUUAGUUAAUAUUAUGAUAUUUUAGUAAAAAUAUAAAAAAAUAAUUUAUUAUAACUUAUUUUUAAUAUUUUAAUAUAUAAUUUUUAUUUUUAAUUAAUGCUUUUAACACAUUUGUAAAACUCAUAUUAAAUAAUCAAGAAAGAGAACACAAAAUAAUAGCAUCAAACACAUUUUAAGUCAAAAAAUAAGGUUAAAAAAGUAAAAUAACAGCAAAAAGUGCUUUUUGACUGAAAAAACUAAAAUUUACUGCUUUUUCAUCUCUAAAAAAACUCAUCCAAAAAGUUAAAAAAAUUAUGUGUGAUUCCUUGCUUUUAAGAGAUUUUUUACAAAAAGUUCAUCCAACACACUAAGAGCCCCUUUGGAUACCAACGCACAGCAGCGCGUUGAAUUUUUUCCUCUUUAUUAUCAACUUGACUGCACUGGGGUGGACUGAGACAGCCUUUGGAUGCCAAGGCUUCCAGCACAGUGAGGGAAUUCUACUACACUGGACAGCCUUAAGCUGACUGGUGAUAAAAGCAUCAGUUGGGUGUAGCUGGGGCAAUAGAUAUUUUUAGAAGACAAUAACACCCUUGUUGUUGUUUCUGUUGUUGCUGCUGCUGCUGCUGCUGUUGGUAUUGUUGAUAAUGGGAAAUGGGAAUGGGAAUUGGAAUGGGAGGAGGGAACGGUGGAAGAGGGGAAUCGAUGGAAGAGGGGAGAUGGGAAUGGGAAAUGGGAGGAGGGCACGGUGGAAUGGGAAAUGGGAAUGGGUAUUGUAUGGGAAUGGGAAAUGGGAGAAGGAUACGGUGGAAGAGGGGAAUGAUGGAAGAGGGGAGAUGGGAUUUCAUUGUAUUUAAAAUUUUAAAAAUAAAAAAAUAUAUGUAAUGGAUUUUAAAAAUAAAAAAAUACAUGUAGUGUAUUUUAAAAAUAAAAAAAUAUAUGUAGUGUAUUUUCAAAAUAAAAAAAUAUGUAGUGUAUUCUAGAAAUAAAAAAAUAUAUGUAGUGUAUUUUAUUAAAUGAAUUUAUAAAUUCACAUAUUUUAAUAAUUUAAAAAAGUAAAAUAAUUUAAAUAACUUCUAUUAUAUAUCAAUUCUAAUCUGAUGUCUUUAAUAGUCAUUUCUUAUUCUCACCUCACAGCUACAGCUGCGUUUGAAUCCAAACACACACUCAACCAUUGUUUCUAAUCUCACCGUUACAGUAUCCAAUCUCACCGCUACAGUAACUAAUCUCACCGCCACCGCUAUUUUUAACCUCACCGAAAGUAAACACACCGCCAUCCAAACUAGCCCUAAGUGUUCAAUAACAACCCAAAGCCAACAAACAUUUGUCCUCGGCAGGUAAGAAACCCUAAAUCUAUGCCCCCAAAUGAAAUCAAAGAAACACUGAACAACUUUGAACGGGGAGACACUCGGAUACUAAAACCUUCUUUUUUUUGGGAAGCCAUGAAAAGGGUUUUGUUUAGAGGCAUUUCACUCACCACUCACAAUUUUCUUCACUCUUGUACCAAAACCAGCCAAAACCCAGUUCACUCGUUCACCCCACUCGCCGCUUCAACUCGGUCUCGACUCAGGCUGCACUCAUCCGAAUCGGAUUCUCCCGUUGAAAAGAAGCCUGACCCUGUUACAGAAUCUGCUUCAGUAGCGGAAGGCCAUGUCGAGGAUGUUGCUUUGCCUGUUGUGCAUAUGAGUGAUAAAGGUAAAAAAUGGGUUAAAAAAAUAUUGGAUUCGGGCUUCUAUUUGGCAAUUUGUUUCUUGUGUUUUUUAUUUAGAUGAUGAGAAAGGAAAGUCAAGAUGAAUGAACAAGUUUGAUUUUUAUUUUAUUGGUUUGUUAUGUUCAUGUUAGUCUGGUAAAAAGUCUUAAACUGGGUCUGAGGAUUUAAUCUGUACUUCUCCUUUGCUGGAAUUUUCUUUUUUUUUUUAUUUGGAAAUUAUUUGUUUGGUUGUUGAGAAAGGAAGGGAAACUAAAUCAUAAUAUAUAUAUUUGUUUGGAUAAUGAGCAAAGCAAGUGAUAGUUUGUUUCUUACUUAUAUUGUUUGACUUUGUUAGUUGUUUGGUGCCAGAGCUGGAAGCCCGAAUCAAGAAGUACUCAGAAGGGAAUCUAGAGGCAAUCCUUCCAGUUCUUCACGCCAUUUUGCAGAGAAUGUUAGCUGGGAAGCAUGACGAGGCAGAUGAAUUGCGGAGAAAGCUGAAAACCCAUGGUUUUUGCAGAAAAUAAGUCUCAUUUAGAACCUCGGGUAAGAUUUUUUAGUUCGAGCUCGAUACGAAUUUUCAAUGUUUUUAUAUAAAGAAUGAGUUCCUGGUAAAAGGUUUGCAUUUCUUGUUAUUAGUAAAAUUCAAUUUUCAUUUAUUUAAUCUCCAAUUUCAUUUGUGAUUCGUUUUGAUUUUGUUGAUUUAAAUUUAUUAAAUAUUAUUUUCUUCAUUUAUGUUAUUCAUCUUUUAAUGGAAAAUUUUCAAUUUUGAUUUAUUUAAUAUCCAAUUGCAGUUUAGAAUGUCAUUUGUUUUGGUUUGGUUAUUUUAGAUUUGUCAAAUGUUUUGUAUAUAUUUGGGUACUAUUACAAGUUUAGAAAUUAAGUGAGUUGAUAUAAUAAUUAGGACUCAAACCUACUAACAUAAUUUUUCAAGUUCGGACCUAACAAUCGGGUCUUUGAUACAUCGACAAUUCUACUUUGAAUUAAGAAAGCCAAUAAUUAAAAAUUUCAGGAAUUCAAUCUUUAUAUAGAUUCGAAUUUUAAAAUUGGAUACACAAAUAAGAAAUUAAAUCAAAAGAAGGAAGUAUAUGAUAUGAUAUGACACAAAAUUUCUGUUUUUUAAACAAUAAAUCGGUGAACUUGUGGUCUUUUUUACAAUCUCAAUCUAGUAGUGUCGAAGAAACAAAGCUUAUUAUGAGAUAGAACCAGCGUUGCCGGAAAAUGGCUUUCGUCGAUGCCCGAUGAUCUCUAUCAACCCUUUUAAGCCGUGCCCUCACUUCUUCUUCUUCUUCUUCCUUUCCUUCUCGUUCUCGCCUUACAGUUGCUCUCCUCAACAAAACCCCAGUUUUAUCCCCGAAGCAACGAAAAUCCUGACCCGAACCAAGACAUCCGGGUUCGGCUACUCGCCUUUAUAUUUGAAAGCCUUAUGAAGUCUACCUUGAUUUAUAUUCGAAAUGUUACUGAAUUAAUAUUUAUCCACUAUACAGAUAGGAAGGAAGCCUUAUGAAGUUAUGGUGGUAGACAGGUAGUUCGUAUACAAGCAAACUGGGAAGCCUGUCCAUACUCUCGAAGAAACUGGUGGUGCUAAAUGGUUUUUUGUCCUCAGUACAUCGAAGAUCUUGUAUUGGUGUGAAGAAAAAGGGUACAUUUCAAAAUUCGAGUUUCUUGGCAGGUGGUGCUACCAUUGCUGCUGGAAGAUUAGUUGUUGACAAUGGCGUCCUUAAGGCAGUUUGGCCACACAGUGGACAUUACCGUUCGUUAGAAGAAAACUUUAACGAAAGCUUUAACAACUUCAUUUCAUUUCUAAGGGAGAACAAUGUAGAUCUUAACAAUGUCAAGGUUAAAAAAGGUACUAUUCUUUUUGCAAAUGAAAAGAAUGUGCUGAUUAUUGUUGCUGAUAAUGCUUGUUUUUGUUAUAUUCAGAUGACUCUGGUGGAUGAGGAAGGAAACUUGGCUGGCAAGCAAAGAAGCAGUAACCAUCUUAGAUGUAACUCGUCUGAAGAUGACUUUAACUUUGAGGCUGAGGAGAUCAAUGUCAAAGACUAGAUCGAUCAAAUACUAUAGUUGAUUCAUGGGGAACAUGAAGCCGAGUCAAGGAGGUUCCACAGCCUUAGCUGAAAACAAUGUAGCUUUUGUGCCUAGUUGUAAUAAAGAUAAUUCGAUGGAUUCCUCUUUGGUGGAUGGUUAUGCAAUAGAGGAGAAACCGUUAGUUCAGAACUGGAUUGGUAUGAAAAUCAUGCAGAUAAUGAGGUGGAAGACCCUUCCUGAUGAAUUGAUUCUUCAAAGGGUUAACUCUAAAAGAGGAUCCACAUGCAAGUGGACUACAGGAGCAGCCUAACAGAUCCCAGAUUGGUUGUACGAAGAAAAACCCUCGAAACUCCAAUUCUGUGCUUGGGAGUAACUGAAGAAUUGAGAACCUUGAAUUCAUCUGUGCUCAAGACGAACAUUUUGUGAAAGAGAAGCAUCCAUUCCUAGAGUGCAGUAUUAUAAAGGAACACUUGCAGCACAAGUACAUUCUCUGUUAGUUCAUUAUUUGGGGUGAAUAGAAAAGAUGAUAUAGGACUUGCUGUAUCAUUCUUUUAAAAAACCAGAUCUCUGUACACAUAUUUAAAAAAAAUCAUCUUGUACCAUACUCUUCUACAAAAUUUGCUUAACUAUUUGAAUACAAUUGGUCAGGCAUUGAAAUGCAACAUUAUGGUACAUGUAAAAGGAAUUCAUAAAGAGAACUUUGGGUUGCUUUUUGACAUGCUAUAUAAAUUAUGUACAGUGUGGAAGCUUACGAUAGCCUUUGCAAAGGAACAUUGUGAUAUAUCUAUAAUGGAUAAAGGAGCAGCAACAAAAGCUCCACCGUCUGUUCAAAUGGUUGUGGAAGCAUUAGCCGGAGAUUUAGAAUGGCGAGACACGAAUGAUUCUACUAGUGGAUUCACAAGAUGUGGAGCUUCAUCCUGCAUGCACAUCAGUAAUACAGCAAUGAAUUAUCAUAUUUGUUAACAGAAAAACCUGCCGAACCAUAAUUUCAUGAGAGAGCAAACCUGAGGGCAGUGGCCAACAUUGGGGAGGACGACAAAGUCUUCUACGGUAUCAAAAUCCCCGUAGGCUCUUCCGAGUUCGAUGCUUUCCCAUGGAUCCUUGUCACCCCAUGCUAUCAAGACAGGACACUGCAAAAAGAGAGAAACAAGCAACAUAAACUAACAUGGAAACUGAAGGGAAAAGAAGACGGCAUACGAGAAAUCAGUUUAAGAAACUUACUUCAACCUGCGGAAGUAAUUCCUCAGGCAGGGGACCACCUGAGUAGCAUAUGAACUCAAGAAAAACAUCAACAGCGCCAGUUUCAAGUCCUGGAUGUAGGAUAAUCUGAACUAGUUCUUCGGUCACUUGAGAGGUGUCAUGGUAACACUGAAAUGAAACACCAGAAGCAAUCAAGCAAAGAUUUAUUCAUUUCUUACAAAAGUCAUCAUAGGAUACUACCUGACAAAGAAUACUUCUAACAGACUCCGGUGUGGCAACGGAUCUGAAGAAAAGUUUGCCGACUGCAGUGUUCCUGCCAAGAUAUCAUUACUACCUGAAAAAUCAAUAUGGCUAGUGCAACAUUUCUAAACAUGAAUGGAAAAAUAAAAAUGGUUCCAUAUCGUUUUUUUUACCUAAGCAAACUCUGAAAUGACGCUAUGAAAGGUCUUCCAAACCAUGGUUGCUUUUUGACAUGAAGCAUGCGCAGAGAGAUAUUUAAUAGGAAUAAACCCCUACAGAUCUCCGGCUUUGCGACUGCAGCUUGAAGGCCAACCAGUCCUACAUGAUGACACCCAUUAUUAUACCGACAUAACUUAAGCAUCAAGCAUAAAAUGUAUUAAAACACCAACAAGGGAAAUUACCUCCAAUAGAGUUACAAAUAAAGAAAGCUUUGUCUUUAACCACACUGCUACAAAAAUCAUUCAAUUGGGAACCCCAAGUCUCAAAUGUAUAGAAUGAGUCCCCAACUUCACGAGGAUUCGGUUUGUCCGAGUAUCCAUAGCCAAUAAGAUCAAUUGCAUAUACCCUAUGUGAUUUUGCUAGAACAGGAAUAUUUUUCCUCCAAUGAUUACUGUAGUAAGCAAGACAUUAGAAGAACUGACAAUUAAGCAUAAACACAUGGAAUCAAGUUAUUUAAAGGAAACCUUUGAAACAAGCAAUAAUUGAUGCACAUCUGAAACAUGCAUAAACAAACUGCACAUGCAUGCAAUGGACAAUAUGAAAAUACAAAAAGCAGAACUAUAUUGAGCAAUGUUGCAAUUCACAGAAACCAAUCACUUGUUUGCUAAUGAGAAGAAAAAUUCAAUUAUGCAGACCUGUUUGCUCCAAAACCAUGUACUAAAACCAAGGCAGGACCGCUACUUCCAGAACACUGAUAGCGAAUAGAAUAGCCCUUCCAGUUCCAUGUACUACAGAAACAAUAGAUACAAUGCAACAACAUCAAAAAAUUAAAGAAAAAUUUAGGGUUUUUUAAAUCAUAAUUUACCAUCCUUAGAAGGCAACAGCAAAAUUCCCUCUAGAAAGCUAAAAAGUUAAAAACAGCUCAAGUAGAAAGAGAAAGAAAAAAGAUAUAAAAGAGUACCAAGAAUGAAUUUGAGGCUAAGGGUCGGUGCUAUUGGUGUUGGCCUUAUGGUGAAGUUGGCCACCCGUGGCGGUGGUGGGGUGAUCACUUGAAAGGGAGCAUAGAAGGAAGCCAUUAGGCCUGAACCAAGAAAGGUUGAGACUGGGGGUGGGAACAUGGGUUCUUGCAAUGGAGGAGAAUGGGAAUUCUGGUUUGGAGAAGGGGAGGGUGAGAGAGUUGAACGUUGCUGCUGCCAUUAGCAUUUAGCCGAGAGAAACAAGGGGAGUGGGUGUUGGCAGUUGCUUCUGCAUUGGGAGGACCCUGAGGACUAGUGGUUAACAAAGGGAAAGGGGGUGUUAUUAUUAACCAAUGUUGGGUGUUGGUCCACGUAGCUGAUAUGAAAUUCUCAUAUAUUAGAAUGUGCAUGCCAUCUGCAAUUUUUUUACUUAUUUUUAUAUUAAAUUUGUUUAAUAUAUUAUUUGAUUUUACAUUUUAAUAUGAUAUUUAUUUUUUAUUUAAUUUGAUACACAUAUUUAAUAAAAAUUAUAUAUUUUAGUUUAGAUCUAUAUAAAUUUAAUUUUUUAAAUAUAUUGUUCAUGUUUUGUUAUAGAUAAAUAAUUAUCAAACAUAUUUUCAUGUUUUUAUUAUUAAAAACAUUUUUUUCUAUUUAUGAUAUGCACCUUCUAUUUUUUAAAAUAAGAAACUAAAACAUAUUUAUAAUAAUAUAAUUUAUUUUGUAAAAAGUAUGCUUUUUAAUUUUUUUAAAUGAAUGAUAAUAUAGAUAUAUUAUUGGUUUAAUAUGUAAUUUGAUACUUGAGUUUGAUAUAUUUUUUAAUGUAAUAGUUAUGUUAUUUUUUUAUUCAAUUUUGGUACCAAAGAUAAUGAUCUUAACUUUUUAGUGUUUAAUUUGAGCUCUAGGAUGGAUUUAAUGAAAGUUAAUUACUAAUAUUAUUAGAUUUAAAUAUUUCAUGAAUUUAUUAAUAGAAUAAAUUUAGUUUUAAUUAUGAGUUUAUUUAAUUUGUUAAGCACAAUCCGAUAAAUCAUGGCUUAAUUCGGUUUUUAGAGUUGAUUUGUAAUCAACUCUAAAAACCGAAUUGAACAUUAAAAAAAUUAACACAUUGGAUCAAAAAAAACAUAGGUAUCACAUUAAAAAAAGAUGUUAAAUUGAAAUACCAAAUUUCGCAUUAAGCUUAUAUUAUUUGCAAUUUAUCUAUACAAUAUAUUAAAUGUCGGAUUAAGUUAAUUUUACUUAUUAAUCGAGUUUCAAUUAAAAAAUUACCAAAUAUUAUAUAUUUUAUAAAAUAAUUUUUUAUACACCAUAGUUUUUUUAUUUAUAUAUUUGACAUUAAUUGUAUUUUAUAAGAAUUAAAGUGUGUGAUGAAUAAAAAAUAAAAGCAAAUAAGGACACUGUACUGUAAUCAUGAUGGCACGUAAGGAUACCAGCUAAGCUAAGCUGAGCUUCCAAACUUCUUUUAUUUUUAUUUGGUAUUAUAACUUAUUUGAUCCUCUACUUUUUAAAAAUAUCAUUUUAACCCUUUAUUUUUUUUAUUUCUUUAAAUAUUUAAACUUGUGUUUUUAUUAAAUCAUCCUAAAAUAAAUGAAAAGUUAACUUUUUUUUAAUUUUCCUAAUGUUAUAUAUACUUGGAUUGUCAUGUAAAUAACACAUUAGCAUUUAACUGAUUUUUUUAAAAUUUAGAACUUCAUAAAAAUUAUUAAAAUAUUUUUAAAAAUUAAAAAUUAUUUUAAAAAUUAUAAAAUAUUAAAUUUUUUUUUAAUAAUCUAAAUUUUAAAAAAUUAAUUAAAUUCUGAAAUGUUAUUAACAUGAUAUACCAUAUUAGCAAAGUUAACAAAUAUUAAAUGUCUCAUUCAUUUUAAGGUAAAUUGAUUAAAAUACAAAUUUAAAGACUAAAAAGAGAAAACUAAAAUAAAUAAAGGACUAAAUGUUUUAUUUUUAUUUUCAUUUUUGUUGUCAACCCUAAUUGGCGCGCUCUCUUAAAAUCCCUCAUUUCUCUCUUUCCCACACUCCUCCUAAAACCCUCUCAGCCACCCCCCCUCUCUCUCUGUCACACACAGCAGCCAAGCAAACGCAGAAUACACGCAUAAAAAGGGAGAGAGGAAUCAAUUUAACCAUCCUCUUCUUCAUCUUCAUCUUCAUCUUCAUCUUCAUCUUCAUCGCUGUUAUCGAUCAUCUUCUUCGCCGCCGCCGUCGCCACCAUGGACCAGCAAUCUCAGCUCGCUGUCAUCUUAGGAUCCGACCCGGUCCCAUUCGAAACCUUAAUCUCUCACUUGAUGUCAUCUUCCAACGAGCAACGUUCACACGCCGAGGCUUUAUUCAAUGUUUGCAAGCAAUCUGAUCCUGAUGCUCUCUGCCUCCGGCUUGCUCACCUUCUUCAGGUCUGUGCUCAACCGGAUACUCGUGCCAUGGCUGCUAUUCUCCUUCGUAAGCUGUUGACUUGUGAUGAUUCCUAUAUCUGGCCUCGUCUCAACGUUUCCACUCAUUCCUCUAUCAAAUCUGUGCUCUUGAAUCAAAUCCAAGUCGAAACUGCUCAAUCUUUGUCUAAAAAGUUAUGCGAUACUGUUUCGGAGCUUGCUUCUAGUAUUUUGCCGGAGAACGGAUGGCCAGAGCUGUUGCCGUUUAUGUUUCAAUGUGUUUCUUCCGAUUCCCCUAGAUUACAGGAGUCUGCUUUUUUGAUAUUUGCGCAGUUGAGUCAGUAUAUUGGUGAUGUGUUGACUCCUUUCAUAAAGGAUCUGCACACUGUUUUCUUGAAGUGUUUGAGUGGAAAUUCUAAUGCGGAUGUCAAAAUCGCGGCCUUGAAUGCGGUUAUCAAUUUUAUUCAGUGCUUGACCAGCUCAUCUGAUCGGGAUAGGUUUCAGGAUCUUUUACCAGCAAUGAUGAAGACCUUGACGGAGGCUUUGAAUAACGGGAAUGAGGCUACGGCUCAGGAGGCGCUAGAGUUGUUGAUUGAGUUGGCAGAGAUGGAGCCUCGGUUUCUUAGGAGGCAGAUUGUUGAUGUGGUGGGUUCUAUGCUGCAGAUUGCGGAGGCAGAAUCACUUGAGGAAGGAACUCGUCACUUGGCAAUUGAAUUUGUAGUUACCUUGGCAGAGGCCAGGGAACGGGCUCCCGGAAUGAUGAGGAAGCUGCCUCAGUUUAUUAGUAGAUUAUUUGCAAUAUUGAUGAGAUUGUUGCUUGAUAUUGAGGAUGACGCAGCGUGGCACACUGCAGAAGUUGAGGAUGAGGAUGCUGGAGAAACUAGCAAUUACGCUGUGGGACAGGAAUGUUUGGAUCGUCUAGCAAUUUCCUUAGGUGGAAAUACUAUUGUUCCUGUUGCAUCUGAGCAAUUUUCAACUUAUUUAGCUGCUCCUGAGUGGCAAAAGCAUCAUGCUGCGUUGAUUGCCCUUGCACAGAUUGCCGAGGGUUGUUCCAAGGUAUAGAUGUAGCACUUUUAAGCACUAGCACUGUUAUUUACGAAUGACAUUAUUGUUAUGUCCAACACCGGAAAUGGACCAAUAAAAUUUGCUUCCAACUAUGGCUGUAAAUGCAUGUAUUUUCCAUUUAUUACUUGAACAAUGAGCUAUAAUUUGUUUAGUAUCUCUUGAUUCUGGUGGUUUUAACCAUAACUUUUCUUGAGGAUUCAGUUCAUGUUUUGAAAGGGAAAUAAAAAAAAGAUCACAUUGUGUAGAGUUUGGACAUGUUCCCUGUUUUUGUUGAAUUUUAAUUUGCUGCUGUACUUGCAGGUUAUGGUUAAAAAUCUGGAACAAGUGGUUUCUAUGGUUUUGAACUCCUUUAACCAUUCUCAUCCCCGUGUGAGGUGGGCAGCUAUUAAUGCAAUCGGGCAAUUGUCUACCGACUUGGGUCCUGAUUUGCAGAACCAAUAUCACCAAAGAGUAUUGCCUGCCUUAGCAGCGGCUAUGGAUGACUUCCAAAAUCCUAGAGUACAGGUUAGUUACAAAUGUAUAAAAUUUACCUCAGGGCUAUAGAUUAUGCUUUUAACCGUUGCUAACUAUUAUUCCUCUGCCCUUUACAUAGAGAUAAUGUGUCUACCUGAUCUUUCCCUUUCUUUCUGUGUUUGCAUGGUAUAAUUGAUACCUCUCUCCCCCCACCCAUAAACAUCAUUUAUCCAGCUUGUUUCUGUAAUUUCCUCCUACUAAAGUUGUCAAUGCAUGCACAUGGUGUCUCUAUGGUGCAUCGCUUGCUUUAGUUAAUGCUUAAUUAAGUGGAUGUCUCCUUAUUUGUUUAUAUAAUUUACUUUAGUCAUCAAUAAAAACUUGCUAAAUUUCCAGUUUGGAACAUUUCAACUUGUUACUAGCAGAUUAUUUUCAUCACUCUUUAGAAUCCAUUUAUGGUCAUUAUGCCAAAUUUCUAAAUGGUCAAAAGAUAUGUUAUGUUAUCAAAUAAUGGCCACAAAGUUGUUAGAUUUCGUUGUACAAUUCUCUAUCUUGCUUCUUCUUGAAAGACAAAAGGGAACUUCUAUUUUUGCUAGCAUUUAUACAGAUUAAUUUCUAAAAUGGUGGAUGCAUUUGCAAGAGCCUGAGAAUGGAUUGUGAAGGGAAUUAAUUGAUUGGAGAGUGGAUGCUGCAUCAUGAUUUCCUGAUUAUUUUAUGAAUUUUCUUGUGGCGGGGGGUGGGGAAUCCUUGUUUAUGUGUUCAUGUGGAUAUUGAGUUGAUGAAUGAUGCUUAGUUACCUUUUAUUGAGGAAACUGAAGUAGCUAGCUUGUGCUCCUUUUUGUAUGAACUUUUAACAGUCUUAUUAUGUUGUAAAGAGUUUUUUCCCUACCUUAUUUCAUGCUGGUUAGGUAUUUGCAUGUUCAAGAUUUUCCUGUUUAUUUUGUAUAACAGUUGAUUUUGCUAUAUAUAAUUGUCUUAACAGGCCCAUGCUGCUUCAGCUGUGCUCAACUUCAGUGAGAAUUGCACUCCAGAAAUUUUAACACCUUACUUAGAUGGAAUUGUUAGCAAAUUGCUUGUACUUUUACAGGUAUGAGUUAUGACAGUUGGAGUUAUAAAUAUCACAUCAAGAAUGAUGAAUCAAUUUUAUUAAAGGAGUUUUUUGUUUGUUUUUUGGGUUUUUAACAUAAGAUAUAACAUGCAGAAUGGGAAACAAAUGGUGCAAGAAGGGGCCUUGACUGCAUUGGCAUCAGUUGCUGACUCAUCUCAGGUAUAGAUUUUGCCCUAAAGAAAGCUAUAUUAAUCAUGAAUUUAUAUAUAUUUUUCUAGAUGACUCAGUUUGACAGUAUGGGGGUUUGCAGGAGCACUUCCAAAAAUACUAUGAUGCGGUUAUGCCUUACCUGAAAGCUAUCUUGGUGAAUGCAACUGACAAAUCUAAUCGUAUGCUUCGUGCCAAAUCCAUGGAGUGUAUUAGUCUUGUUGGAAUGGCUGUUGGAAAGGAGAAGUUCAGAGAUGAUGCUAAGCAGGUUGGUACAAGUGUAAAAGCGCCAUUCCUGUGUCAAAUUGUUUUCUUUUCCUCUUCUAGUUAUUUUCUUAUAUCUCAGAAGUCAUGGAUGGUUAAGAUAUUUGAGUUUAGUGAUACCAUUAGUUAGGGAGUGUAAUGGUGCAAUUUGGAGCAAGUAUCUGCCUUCCCCCUGUGACUUUUGUAAUUUGUAGCAUAUAUUUUUCUUUUUCUUUCAUCUCAUUACUGUUUAAUUUCAUUAUACUGUAAAAUUUAUUAAUUAUAUUGAUAUUUCCACCAAGUGUUUACAUCUUGUUUUGUUCUUUCAUCAAAUAUAAGCUUACCUUUUUUUGUAUCCUUCUUCCUUAUUGCGAGGUUAUGGAAGUGCUAAUGUCAUUGCAAGGAUCCCAAAUGGAAACAGAUGACCCGACAACAAGUUACAUGCUGCAAGUAUGCCCAUAGCACAGGAACUGCUUAGACAAUAUCUUUCACAUUUUAUUUGUCCUUGCUUAUGAUUAUAUGACCUUAUUACAGGCAUGGGCCAGACUUUGCAAGUGUUUGGGACAAGACUUCCUCCCUUACAUGAGUGUUGUCAUGCCUCCCCUUCUCCAGUCUGCUCAACUGAAGCCAGAUGUGACUAUUACAUCUGCAGAUUCAGAUAAUGAUAUCGAGGACUCUGAUGAUGAAAGGUUAUACUUUGUUACUGUUUUAAAUAAAUUUGCCAGUAACGACAUAAAUGUCAAUACAUGCAUGUAUAUUUUUUUCAUCCUCAUUUGUAUAGGUAAAAAACUCUUUUCUCAUGUCUUCUACUUCUCUAUAUUUUCAUUCAAAAACAUAAACAAUCUUAGAAACACACACCCAUGCUUGCAUGUGCACAGACACUGCAUGUACACGUAAAGAAUCCUAGCCUUAGCUGUGUUCAUCCAUGGAUGGUUGGCUGGCUUAUAGCAAUUUCAUUCUGAGCAGUAUUAUUUGGUACAAUUUGUUACUAUUUUAGAAUUACGCCAAUAAGUAACUUGAAUGUUGAUACAUUCAUCUGUAUCUUGUUUAUCCUUCCAUCAUUUGUAUAGGCCAAGGCUCAAUCUCCUCUCCUCCCCCUUCUCUUUUCUACUUCUCUCUAUGCUACACAAAAAUACAUACAAAGAUGAUCUAAGAAAUUCCUGCUCAUGCUCAUGUCUGCAAACACCACAUUGACACACAGACUUCUGGCGUGACUGUGUUGGCUUAGAGAAAUAGAAUGUUAUUUUGUAAUAUGUUUUGUGUUAUAGUAAGGUAUGUCUGGUAUUGUAUGUUCAGUAUGGAAACCAUUACCCUCGGGGAUAAAAGAAUUGGGAUCAAGACUAGCGUCCUGGAGGAAAAGGCAACAGCAUGUAACAUGCUUUGUUGCUAUGCUGAUGAGUUGAAGGAAGGAUUUUUUCCUUGGAUUGAUCAGGUGUGUUUCAAUUCAAUGUAUUGGGUUAUUAUUCUCGACUUUCUAGCAAUGUGAUACUAGCAAAAUGGUGGACAUAUGGUACAGGUUGCCCCGACUCUAGUUCCUCUUCUUAAAUUUUAUUUCCACGAAGAAGUUAGAAAAGCUGCUGUUUCAGGUAGAAUGGUUAUGAUAUACUGUUUCUCUUUUACUUAAAAUGUUUUCCUUUUCAAGUUUGUUAGGCUUCUAUUAAUUGUCUUGGCCAUUUCUUUUAUUUUGUUUGUAGCUAUGCCAGAGUUAUUGCGUUCUGCAAAAUUAGCUGUGGAGAAGGGAAUGGCUCAAGGGCGUAAUGAGACCUAUGUAAAGCAAUUGUCUGAUUACGUUAUUCCGGCUCUAGUGGAGGCAUUGCAUAAGGUUAUUGUUGUUUGUUCUUAGGAGUAUUCAUGUAUCGAAACUUGCAUUAUUGAUAUGUUGUUUGUCAUAGAUGAAAACUUAAAUUACCACAUUCUUGCAGGAACCUGAUACGGAAAUAUGUGCAAGCAUGUUAGAUGCAUUGAAUGAAUGUGUACAGGUUUGUGCUAUUAUUAAAUGAAGUUAAUUAUGAAGUGUCUCUUUUUUUCACUGUUUUCUGUUUGAAAUUAUUCUGCUUUUGAAUGAAUUUUAUUGAGAAGAGAUGGUUAGAAUUUAUUUAAAUAAAUAAAAACAAGGAUGGUUACUUGAACUUAAUAUGGUAUUUUAACAUUCGCUAAUAAGUUGAACUGAUUCCUCAAUUAAACCUGUCGUGUCUGUUAAAACUAAUAUUUCCUGGCUGUCUACGAGCUCUUGUUUCUCUCUCCUUUAGUCAAUAUAUGUGACUUAAGUAUUUGAGAAAACAUUUCAGAGCUCCAUUCCUGGCCUUUUUCUUUCAUUCAUUUUGGUUCACAUGUAUCAGUACCUUUGAUAAGAGAUUGUUUAUAAUAUAUGAAGUACUAAGUCUUCAUGCCCAAUGUCUGAGAACUUUUUUUGUACUAACUACUAAGUGCUUAGCCCCAAUGUCUGAGAACAAUUUUUCUCUUUCAGAUCUCUGGUCCUCUGCUAGAUGAAAGUCAAGUUAGGUCUAUUGUGGAUGAGAUAAAGCAAGUAAUCACAGCUAGUGCUAGCAGAAAAAGUGAGAGAGCUGAAAGAGCCAAAGCUGAAGACUUUGAUGCUGAGGAGGGAGAGUUGAUUAAAGAGGAAAAUGAACAAGAGGAAGAAGUUUUUGACCAAGUACGAAAAUAAAAGCCAUGAUAUAAAGCACAAAAAUGACAAGCUAAUAUUUAUUUAUCUGUUAUUAUCCUUUUCGGAUCCAUUAAAGCAUCCUUUUCUGCUUCCAGGUGGGUGAAAUCUUGGGAACUUUGAUCAAAAGAUUUAAAGCCUCUUUCCUGCCUUUCUUUGAUGAGCUAUCUUCUUAUCUUACUCCUAUGUGGGUGAGUUCCAAGAAAGUUGUCUCUUGUUUCCAAAAUCAGUUCUUGAGGAACGUCCAGAGUAAAAAAGUUCUUUCCUGAAGUAUGCUCAUAUAUUUCUCUAUCUUUGUAUGUUGUAUAAUACAGGGCAAAGAUAAGACACCUGAAGAAAGAAGAAUUGCAAUUUGUAUUUUUGAUGAUGUUGCCGAACAGUGUCGUGAGGCAGCUUUAAAGUAAGCUGCCUAAUUUUCUUAUACUUGUUAUUAUCAUAGAAGAAUCAUUUGAUGCAAUUGCUUAUUGCUGUAAUUUGGUUGAACAGAUAUUAUGACACAUAUCUUCCUUUCAUAUUGGAGGCUUGCAAUGAUGAGAACCCAGAUGUGCGACAGGUAUGUAUUUUCUUAGUUCUGGCAACCAAAGUGCUAUGGAUUGUUGAGACUUGAGAUUGAAUUAAAUAUUAUGAUUUUAUGUUCCAGGCUGCAGUAUAUGGGCUUGGUGUUUGUGCAGAAUUUGGUGGACCUGUAUUUAAGCCACUUGUUGGAGGUAAACUUUGCUUUAUGGUCUAUAACGUGGUUAUUUCUUGUAUAGAAUAACAUAUUUGUGUCUUUUUCCAGAGGCUUUAUCAAGGUUAAAUGCUGUAAUUCGACAUCCUAAUGCUUCGCAACCUGAAAAUGUUAUGGCAUAUGAUAAUGCUGUUUCUGCUUUGGGAAAAAUAUGUCUGUUCCACCGAGACAGUAUUGAUGCAACUCAGGUAUGGCAGGCCAUAAAAUCAUCUUUCCAAGUUAUUUUUCCCUUUUGAUAUGAAAGGAAAAAUCUGUGGUUUGCAUUAAAAAAAAGCACAUUUCUGAGCUGUUGUUUGAAGUCCCCAAAUGUAUCUACCUGUUAAAGCCAGUGCCAUGUCUUAUGUACAAUGGGCCAUACUGUUCUCUAUGUUUGUGCUUGAAACUAUUGCACAUUUUAAUAUUCUAAUCAACUCUUAGGGUAGAGGAGAGCCUUGGUGGAAUUGAAGAGCACAUUUUUUCUCCCCUCUUCAUUUUUUGUUAGUGGCUGCAAAAGUAAAUUAAAGCGUUUUUUGACAUGUUCAUGGAUGCACAGUGUUACGUAUUAUAUAGUUUUGUGUAUACUAGCUGAGCAUCAAAUUAAGAACCAUUGUCUCUAAAAGGUAAGUUGAUGGCCUUCUCGAUGGUUUUUCCAAGGUUUUCAAUAAUCCUAACAAACAUUUUUCUUUUCUAUGUUGUAAAAAUGGUCAUACCAGUAAAUUUUAACUCUAUCAGUUUGGAUUUAGUGCUGUUUUCUAAGAGAUGUAAAUAUUUGAACAAGAUGAACAUCUUCAUAGAAAGUUUAAACAAUUGAAACAUUCUAGUACCACUGGUGCAUGAUGAUGCAGUUUGAUAGUCACUAAACAACUCUCCUUCCUCUCAGAUAAAUAUAUGCUUUUCUAAUAGACAUUACCCUGAAUUGGUAUAUUCCUAGGGCAUCCAUAUCUUAUGUUACAUUAGAUAUAAUGCUUUAUUGUGGAUCAUUUUAUAUUGCUGGGGAGUCUUGCUUGUGGAUCUUCUCUAUGUAUUAAUACACAGAUAUUUUACAACUUCAGAUAGAGUCAGUUCUGUAUACACUUCUUUUGAUCUGCAUUGCAUUUUUCACAUAAGUAAUACUGGUUGCUUAUGUCUUAAAAGCUUAUUUGAUGUUUUAUUUUUGUUUUCUUAAUGUUUGCUUUGCCUUGCGCACAACCUUUUGUGUUUGGUAGGUUGUUCCUGCAUGGUUAAACUGCCUGCCAAUAAAAGGUGAUCUGAUUGAAGCCAAAGUUGUUCAUGAACAACUUUGUUCAAUGGUUGAGAGGUUAGAUCAGCUUUUUUUUAGCUAACCUUGUCUCAUUUCAGGUUUUUUUUUUUUGGCUUCAAUAUUUUGUUAAUGCCCAUUAUUAACAAUGUCUCUAAUAUGUGUUCAGGUCCGACAAUGAAGUUUUGGGUCCCAACCAUAAUUUCCUUCCUAAGAUUGUUUCAGUUUUUGCUGAGGUAAAAUUUCAACUUACCUUAUCAAACUCUUCUUAACAUAAAGGUUAAUUCUUAUUUGAAUUGCUUGUUCUGAACAAACAAUUCAAAUAAGAAUUGUGGCUAUCUGUUCUGUUUAUGCGGUUUGGUUUUUAUGGUGCAUUUGAUGAAAUCUACUGCUGUUGUGUAGGUUUUAUGUGGUAAGGAUUUAGCCACAGAACAAACCGCAAGUAGGAUGGUGAAUCUACUGAGGCAACUUCAACAGACUUUACCACCAGCAGCAUUGGCUUCAACUUUAUCAUCUUUGCAGCCGCAACAACAGCUUGCUUUACAAUCCAUCCUCUCCUCCUAGUUAAUAUUGGCUCAAUACUCAUCCGUCUUGUGCAUCAAUGCAUAUAUUUAUUUUAUAUACCAAAUUCUUUUCACGGAGAAGGUUCCCUUUGUUUUUGCAUCAUGUUCUUUUUACUCCCUCGGUGAUUGAAAUGAACUUUCCUCCCCAGAUAUAUAAAUUUUAUAGAAUGUGUAUAUCAUGAAAGUAUCUAUUUAUGGAACAAGAAGCGAGAGUGGUGAUUCGUGUGGUUGGUGAGCAUAUUUUUUGUGUUAAAAAAGUGCAUUUAGGUUUGAGAAGUCGAUGUUCUUGUAGCAGUUUUGGUCUCAUGUGUCUCUUCGUUUCAAAUUUUACAGAGAAUUUGGAUUGUAAUUCUUUCAUUAUGCUUGCAAUUUGGAUCAUAAAAAAGAACAAUAAUAUUAUGUGUUGUCGGUUUUCUAAUAUGUUUAUAUUUGCAUUUUCUUUUUGGUCAAUUCUCAUCAUUAGUCCUUGAAUUAUUUUUAUAUUCUAAUUUGGUCAUUUUAGUAUACUUUUUUAAGGAAUGUGGUGUGUACGAACUGGUUGUUUACUUUGCUUUUAUGUCUACCUUUAGUAUUGAAAGAUGAUUAUCACAAAUUUCAUAUAGCAAAUAAAAUUUAAAUCCCAAGAUUCUUUGUUUAAAAUUUCCAACUUUUUUGUUUUUAUAAAAAUAGGUUUCUUUGGACAUCAUAUUUAUAAAGGCUACGAAGGAUUAAACCAUACUGAAAAGUUGUCUACGAUUACGUAAUUGUUGUAUUAGAUUUACUGUCCUAAAUAGUAAAUUAAUGUUACCCGUCAUUCAAUUAUUUUAAUUUUAAUCUAACGAAAGAAGAUGGAAGUAAACCCAGGGCAUUGUCAAGCUACUUGAGAUAAAUCAUUGUUGAAUGGAGAACAUUUUAAAGGUGAAAUUAAACUUAUAAUCUCAAAAAUUGAAGCGAACUUUGAAAAUGCUUUGCUUUUAUUUAUAAAAGAGAUUCCAUUAUAAUCCAACCUGCUUGAUAUUCCCCCUCUAUUUUGUUGUUUCUUCCAUUUGGAUCCUUUUUCAACGCUCCCAUUCUCUUUUUAGUGGGAGCCUACUUUCUCCAAGUGUCAUGCCUGCCUGCCUUCACCAAUCCCUCCUUAUCAUUUGGUCAACUCAAAACCCUUUGAGAUAUCAGUCACUAACUAUACAACAGAUUAUGCCCAACAUGCUUCCAACAAUGUCAAGACACCCUUCCCACAAACUUUCAAUAUUCCCCUAUAUAAAAACCCAACCCCCUCACCUCUUUUCUUUCACCCCCCCUCCCAACAACCUUUUCUUCUUUCCAAUGGAACACCAAGUUCAAACCCAACAAAAAGGCAAGUUCAAGGAGAGGAGAAACAAGUUUGUUGGUGUAAGGCAAAGACCAUCAGGGAAAUGGGUUGCUGAGAUCAAAGACACUACACAAAAGAUAAGGAUGUGGCUUGGUACUUUUGAAACAGCUGAAGAAGCUGCUAGAGCUUAUGAUGAAGCUGCUUGUCUUCUUAGAGGUUCUAAUACAAGAACCAAUUUUGCAACUCAUGUUCCUACUGAUUCUCAUCUCUCUUUGAAGAUUAGGAACUUACUUAAUCAUAAGAAGAGCUUGAGGCAAGGGAAGAAUAAUAAUAGUAAUAGUACUACCAACUCCAACAAAAUCACCAUUAAAGCAAGUACUAUUGUUGGCAGUAACGACAGUAUUAAUAGUAGUAUCAGUAAUGCUGGUACCCAUAGUUUUAUGUGUAAUUUGUUGGUGUUUGAAGGUGCGUACAGGCCGGAGUUGAGCGGUUUUGUAGGGGAGCUUGGACCGGAUCCGUCACAGUUGGGGCAAUCCUGGAUGAUUCCAACAGGGUUUGAUCAGAUUCCUUUAAGCCAAGGACUGGAGUUGCCACAAGAAGUUGGUGUUUUGCCUCAAGGGAUUGAUCAAGAGCUCAUGGAAUUUGAACGCUUGAAAGUAGAAAGACAGGUAUCAGCAACUUUAUAUGCAAUGAAUGGGGUUAAUGAGUACCUUCAAAGUGCAGCAUUUGAUCCGAAUGAUGCUAUUUGGGAUCUUCCUACACUUUGUCACUUAUUCUGUCAAAGUUGAUUUCUCUCUUUCUAACUAUGAAACUAGAGGCUGUUUCUGUUCCUAGUGUUUAGAAACAACAAUUUUCAAUGUCUGAAAUGAAAACUAUUGCUGUUUCAGUUAUGUUCCUCACACCAUUUUUGCUCUUUCUUCUAACAAGUUCCGGGUUUUUUGCUCCUACUCUUUCUUCUAACAAGUUCCAUGUUAUACUCAAUUCUGAUUCUAACAAGUUCCAUGGUGAAGUCCUAUUAGAUGAUAUCCCUUUAUUUAUGUUCGAAUAUUGAUCAAACACUUAUGUUAAAAAUGAGUACUCUAAAUAAAAUAGGUAAAAAUAUAAUAAAAGCUGUUAUGUCAGAUUGUGUUUUACUCCAUUUAUUAAAAAAAUUGAUAAAUUAAUCACUAUACAUUAAAUUAAAAAAUAAACCAAUCCUGCUAUUAAAAUUUUAUUCUUUUUUAUUGUCAAAAAACUAAUCCUUGUACAUAAACAAAUGUACACAUGAUAUAUCACUUGUCAUUAUUUAAUUAUUCUAUCAAUCAUGUUAGUUUAAAAAAAAAUUACUUUUCAACUUCCAUCCAGAGAUUAAUUUCGACUAACUUGUCCAUUUUUUGAGUGAAAACAAAAUAUAUUUUAACUCUAACUCUUAAUAGAAUGAAAUAAAGUAAAAAUGAUUUGGCCAUUUUUUGCUCCUAUAAACUACACCUUUCAUAAUUAAGAAGGAAAACAUUUAUAACAAAAAAAGGGUGUGCAACACAGAUCUGAAUAUCACUUCAUUGAUGGCAUAAAAAGGGUCUAGACAGAUUAUGGGUACAAUUUGACAAUCUUACAGCAACCAUAAAUGUUGUUUAUGGAACACCUUUCAUAAAUAGAAGACACAUUUAUAACAAAAAAUGACAAACACAACUAUAAAUAUUACUUCAUUGAUAGCAUAAAAAGCCCUUAGGCAAAUGAUGGGCACAAUUUAACAAUCAUACAGCACACAGGAAGACAGUGCUACACAAGAGCAAAAGAUAGGAAUACCCUUACACACAGAGCUGAUAUUCAAAAGUAAAUAUUUCAGCAUACGAACAUCAAUAGUCUUCGGCAUCCUCUUCGUCCUCUACACCUUCGGCUCCGACUUCUUCAUAAUCUUUUUCGAGAGCAGCCAGAUCCUCACGAGCUUCAGAGAACUCUCCUUCUUCCAUGCCCUCACCAACAUACCAAUGCACGAAAGCUCUCUUUGAGUACAUGAGAUCGAACUUGUGGUCAAUGCGUGCAAACACCUCAGCCACUGCUGUGUUGUUGCUUAUCAUGCAAACAGCUCGCUGCACCUUAGCGAGAUCUCCUCCAGGUACAACAGUUGGAGGCUGAUAGUUAAUACCACAUUUGAAGCCAGUAGGGCACCUACACAUCCAAUCGAAAAAAAACUUUUCAGAGAAGGCAUGAAUAUAUUGGAGACACAAUGACAUCCUUAAAAUACAUUGGGCUACUAUAUUCCUGCAUGAGAUACUUAGGUAUAUACUAUUAUAUAAACCAAUCCCAUAUGAUAAUGAUGGCAAGGGCAAUUUCCUAGCUAGUGAACUAAUGAAGCAGAGUUUUCCAUCCUUCCAUAUGAAAUUCUCUUACCAGUCAACGAACUGCACGGUCCUCUUUGUUUUGAUGGUAGCAACAGCAGCAUUAACAUCCUUGGGGACGACAUCUCCUCGAUACAUCAAGCAACAUGCCAUGUACUUCCCAUGCCUAGGGUCACAUUUUGCCAUCAUGCUUGAAGGCUCAAACACAGCAUUUGUGAUCUCGGGAACCGACAAUUGUUCAUGGUAUGCUUUCUCAGCUGAGAUGACAGGUGCAUAUGAAGAGAGCAUGAAAUGGAUACGGGGGUAUGGAACCAAAUUGGUUUGGAACUCAGUAACAUCCACAUUGAUAGCUCCAUCAAACCUUAAAGAAGUUGUCAAGGAUGAUAUGAUUUGAGAUAUCAAACGGUUCAAGUUAGUGUAAGUUGGCCUCUCAAUAUCAAGGGAACGACGGCAUAUGUCAUAAAUUGCUUCAUUAUCCAAGAGCACAGCCACAUCAGUGUGCUCAAGAAGGGAAUGAGUAGACAGAACACUGUUGUAAGGCUCCACAACAGCUGUUGAGACCUGUGAGUUUAACAGAGACAAAACCAAAAUGAAAAUUGCAUACCACAAAAAGGUUUCAAAGGCCAAACAUGAAGCCUAGUUCUAGCAUACUCAAAUGCAUAUUACCGCAGGCUUUUAAGCUAAAAUGGUUACCUGUGGUGAAGGGUAGAUGGUGAAACCAAGCUUUGACUUUUUACCAUAAUCCACCGACAAGCGUUCUAACAACAAAGAUCCCAGACCAGAACCAGUUCCACCACCAACAGCAUUGAACACAAGAAACCCUUGUAAACCAGUGCAGUUAUCAGCUAACUUCCUAACACGGUCAAGGCAAAGAUCCACAAUUUCCUUCCCAACUGCAAAAAAAGACAAGCAUCAAUCUUUGUAAGUAACCCAACAAAAAGAAGAACCACAGAUGAUGUUUAUAGUGUACUUGUAUAAUGGCCUCUGGCAAAGUUAUUGGCAGCAUCUUCUUUGCCAGAAAUAAGCUGUUCAGGGUGGAAAAGUUGUCGGUAAGUCCCAGUCCUAACUUCAUCGAUCACAGUAGGUUCCAGAUCCACAAACACAGCUCUAGGAACAUGUUUCCCUGAACCAGUUUCACUAAAGAAAGUGUUGAAAGCAUCAUUUGCUACACCUACAGAGGUGUCACUGCAACAAAAUCACAAACACAUUGAAAACCAACUGUUAUCCCUUCAGAAUCUGUCAUGAAAGAACAUAAAGUUAGCAUCCUUUUGCUUAAAAAAAAUUGGGUUUUGAAGAUAAAAACCUGGGCAUCAUUCCAUCGGGUUGGAUUUCAUGUUCAAGGCAGUAAAGCUCCCAACAUGAGUUACCGACUUGAAUACCAGCUUGACCUAUAUGAAUGCUUAUGAUUUCCCUCAUGUUUUGGUGAAAAAAAGGAAUGGAUUUGAUGAUCUAAGAGGAAAGGAUCUGAGAGACGAAUGUUAUGGAGAAGACAGUACAGAGAGACCCAGUGAGCGCAGGAUUUUUUUCAAAGUGGGAGAGAAGAUAAUAUAAUAAUAUAUACAUACAAAAAUAGCAUUUAACUAAUGGGAAUUGAUGAUAUUUUGGCGUCCGACAGCCUUUACGUGGGGCCCAUACUUUUGCUUAGCUGGCCACCACUCACCAUGACCACGACUCUCUUCAAGUCUUUUAAGUCCAAACUAGGGUUGGUUAAAAAUUAAAAAUCAAAUGUGCAAUCGAGUAAAAUUUAAUUUGAUUUAAAAUCAGAAGUUUAAUAUUUGGCAGAACCUUUAUCGAAUAUUUGUUUUUAAAGAAACUAGAGUUUCUUUUAAAAUAUAAUCGAGUUAUUUGAGUUUGAGUUUAUGUAACGCCUCAAUUUUCGCGAAUUCUGUGAAUAUUGACAUAAGUUUAAUUAUGUUAGUGGGCCUUUAGAAGGCCCAAGCUUGAGAUAGAACCCGGUAAUUUUAGUUAAUUUUUGUUCCAUAAGAAAAAUGGAGUGAAAUUAUGAAAUAGGACCUAUGUGAAAAUGUUUAAAAAUGCUAUAGGCUAAUUUGUAGUGGCCAAAUAAAUAGUACUACAAAAUAGGAGGAUUUGCAUGUCAAAUUCCCCACUUUUAAUGUAGUGGCCGGCCAAGGUGAUGGAUAGUUGAUAAUGUAUGCAUUUUAGCAUUUUAAUAGUUAAUGGAUGAUGGGCAUUAGCAUUUUAAUAGUUAAUGGAUGAUGGGCAUGGUAAGCAUUAUGAGCAUAUUUUUAUUGGAAUUAUGGCAUGAGUAUGGCACAAAUAUUAGUAUAUCAUUUAUGUGUCAUAAAAUGUUGAGUGAUAAGAAUAACAAAAGGAAGUAAAGGAAGGUUUUUGUUCAUUCUUUGUUCUUCAUAGCCGAAUUUGAGAGAGAGCAAAUAGGGGAGGAAACCCUUGAAUAUUCGGUCACUAGGAGGGGGAAAAAUUGAAGGUAAGUUCUUGGUACUUUGCUUCUAUCUUGAUGUUCAUGAGUUCGUCUUAAUUCUACCUUAACUCUUGAAGCAUAUUUUAGUUUUUGGGUGUGUUGUGAGCAUUUGGUCAUGAAUUAAAAUGAAGGAAAUGGUUGUUGUUUCAUGUUCUUUUGAUGAAAAAUGGAAGAUAGGUGAAGUUGAGCCAAACAAAUGAUCAUGCAUGUGCCUUAGAUGCUAAAGGGAAAAAUCGGCUAACAUGUUGUGCUUUAAAAUGAUGAAAUGGAGAUUAUGCUUAAGUAAAAAUCAUAGAUAUGUGAUGAUUGAUUGGUGAUAUACAUGUUUAAAUAACAUGCAUGCAAGAUAGGUGUAUGAAAGAGUGAUUUGGUAAUAAAUCUGCUUGGGACAGCAGCAGUAACGUGACUUUGAAAAAUCACCAUAAAUUGUGGGAGAUGAAUUAAAAGUUGAAUAAAUUAUGUAAUUAAAGCUUAAUGAGUCUAGUUUCAAAUGAAAUAAACGAGAACAUAUUUCGAAUUCUGUACAAUGAGAAAUUUUAUUUGUAAUGAAGAGUGGUCAGAUUAGUCAAACAGUGAAACAUGGGAAACUUUAAGAAAAAUAUGGUAUUGAUUGGCCAUACCAAAAAUUCUGAAAAUUUUAUGGAUAGAAGAUAUAUGAGUCUAUUUUCAGGGAAAAUUAACGGCACUUGAUUUGGAGUUUCGUAGCUCCAGUUAUAAAUGAUUUAGUGACUGUUACUCAGGAAGACAGCUUGCAGUGAAAUUAUGAUUAUGUGGUAAACAUUGACAAAAAUUUGUUAAUGAGUUGCUUAUUGAUUUCUUAUAAGCUUACUAUGAUCUGUGGGCGUGGUUGGCCGACUAUUGUAAGGGGUUAAUACGUAGUUUGUAUUUGAAUAGUUAGAUUAACGUGUUAGUAAUCCAAUUGUAGGCGGUUCGUGUGUGGAUCUCGUCAGCAUAUCGUCACAAACAGGUGUGUAACUAAUACCCUCUUUCUUAGUCUAGAUCGGCAAAAGUCGAAAAGCUGAAAUGCCGAAAACCGGUAUUUUGUAGAUUUGCGAGUGUGCGAAUGCUCGUGAGGUAAAUCGAUUAAUGUUUUUGGUAUACUGCAAUGUUUAGACUGCAAAGUGCAUGAUUUCUGUGCCCUCGAUAUUUUGGGGCUUAAUAGGCCAAAAUUGGAAUGAUGGGCUAACGGGCCCAAUUCGGUAAGAACCCUCGGUAGUAAUUCUGUUAGUACGUGAAAGGUAGGAAUAUGCAUGAAAAACCCUAAAAUAGAUAAAUUACUGAAAUACCUUUAAAAGUGGAAAAUUUACAGUUUUACCCCUAAGAUAUAAAUUACCGAAAUACCCCUAGGGUUAAAUUGACCUAAAUGCAUGUUUGACUGUUGUUAUUUACUUCAUGCCAUGUUAUUAUCUGAUGCAUGGGACUGGGAUAUUGACGGAGGAAGUACUGAAAGUGGCUUGUCCACGUACUGGAGGCUUUGCCUCAAUUUACUGUUAACUGAGCAGCAAGGCUGCAAUUGUGGAGUGUUGGGCUGGGUGGGUUGAGCUAUUCCCCACAUGGAGUGUAUGGCUGGUACGGGUAGAGUGUAGUGGUUGGUGGGUUGAGUAGUCUCCCCAAAUGGGCUUGCAUAUGUUUACUGAUGUUGCAUGUAUUUUGAAAUGGGCCUAUGGGCCAUACUGUUAUCUGAAUAAGGGGCUAAGGCCCAGUACCACUGUUACCUGAAUGGGCUUAGGCCCAAUGGGCUUGAGCUGACUUGGGCUUUGAAUGGGUUUUCCUUACACACUGAGUUUCCCCAAACUCACCCCUUCUUUAACCUUGCAGGUGAGCCUUGAUGUGGGUGACUUGGAGCCGGAGGGGAUUCAGAGUGGCCAUGGUGAAUACUUUUGGGUUUGAAAAAGAGAUUGGUUUUCUUAAGUUAUUUUUAAUUACUAUUUAAUUUUUGGAUUGUAAUAAGGCCAUUUUAACUUUAUUUUCUUCUUUGAUUUUUCUGGGAUUAUAUUAUUAAAAACAACUUUAAAUUGAUGGAUACUAAUUCAAAUGGGCUAGACUUAGGGCGUUAUUUCAAAACGAUACUUGUUUUUUUUUUUAAAAUAACACGACGUCACGAAUAUUCGAUUUACCAAAGAUAACCACUCAAAGAAAUUUCAACUUGUUAUAACCAAGUGUGGCAAUGGAUGUGGGCAUGUCUAGGAUUGGAUCCAAUCGGAGAGCUUGGUACUUAAGCAGCCUUCAUGGCUCACCUCCUCUGUUAUGGAUACCUACCUGGUGCCCAGCUUCUAUUCACUUGGUUAGUUUAACAAAAGUCGGCUUUUUAAAACACUAAAAAGGGAACACGGGUUUUUGACUUCAAAGUGGCACGUCGGAUUCGGCCUUAACGUCUGGGCCGGGUUUGGGGUGCUACAGUUUAAUUAAGUUUUUUUGUUAAUUUUUAUAUUUAAGUUUUAACUUGAAUUCAACUCGAUAAUUAAUUUUAGAAUUAAUAACAUAUAUUAAGAAAAAUAAUGUAAUUUAAUAAUAUAAAAACAUGAAAAGCUUGAGAAAGCUCUUGAGUAGUUCGAUUUAAAUAUUAAGCUUGAAUUCGACAUGAUCGAAAGCUUGAGCUUGAGUGGCUCGAUAAUAACCAAAUCGAGUUUGAUUUUUUGAGUCGAGCUUGAGUAGCUUGCGAGCACCAAUGUCUCAUUUAUAUCCCUAGUGUAAGGUUUUUAGAACCAAAUUUGGGGUUGAAUUGAUCGUACCGCCAAUUUUUGGUCCGACUAAUUUAUUCAGUUCAAUUGAAUAAAUUAUUAAAAAUAAAAAUAUUAAAUAUUAAAAAAUAGACAAACUGGUUCAAUUAGUUUUUUUAGUUUAGUUUUUUAUUGAUUUAUAAAAAUAUAAAAAAAAUCACUUUUUAUAAUACCAUAGAACUUAUGAAUGUGAUUUUGUUAAAUUCUCUACUUAGGUGGGAUUCGAUUAAUAGAUCUUACUAAAUCAAGAGUAUUUUUUUAUAGUAGAGUUAUAUAUUUAUUUAUUGAAAAAGAAAAAAUUUCUUAUAUUUCAUAUAGGGUAAACUACACCGAGGACUAUUAAAUCAUUAUUAAGUUUACGUUUUAUUCAUUUAACUUUAAAAAAAUUACAAAAUUAUCAUUAAAUUAUUCAGAAGUUUUUAUUUAAGUCAUUGGGCGAUAAAGUUUUUUUUAAAGUCCGACUACUGAGCUCCAAGCAGUCAGUAUCCAUCGGCGAUAAAAGAUUAUACCUUAGAUCUAAGUCGAUUUGACGUUCAAUGUUAGAGAUCAGAGAAAAAAUUGUUUGGAUUUUGACUAGUAGAUUCAUGACGUUCAAAGUUAUUUCAUGAAAAAAAAUAAACUGCAGAAGAGAAAUGGAAGAAUAACUCUCAAUUUGUGCAAGUGACGCUAACAAAGAAGGUCCUAUAACAAUGAUUUAACAAUCUAAUAACUUAAAUGAAAACUUACUAAUAAUUUAGUGAAUGUAGUUCACCUUUUCAUAUAAAAUCUUUCUAUUUCAUCAAUUUAAGAAUUGAGCUAUCCUUUUAAACUUGAAUGUAUGGUUUGAGCUAAAAAAAUUAUACUGGAAAAUGAAUUUAUACAAGAUUAAAGCUACUUCUUUUAUUUCAACUGAAUAUUAGGUAGGAUUUUUUUCCUGGAACAACUUAAAUUAUAUAUAUAUUCACAAAAUCAAAUCAAAAUAAAAAGAUAUAAGGGGGAUGAGGGAGGACCAGCCAGGAUAGCAUGACAUUUAGGGUUGUACAAUAAUGAGCACCCAACAUUAGGAAGAUGAUGUGUUUUUUUGUUUGUCUGUUUGGAUAAGAAGUAGCAUAGAUUUAUUCACGAGUUGAUUUAUUCGAUAAAGUAUAAAGAUAUUUUUUUGAAAUUUAAAAAAGUUUGAGUAGAAAUAUUAAGUUCGUAAAAUAAGUUUGAUAAAAAAAAAUUAGGUCUAUUUAAAAUAUGGAUAAAGCUUAAGUUGAGUUUUGAUUGUUCAAACCUGGUUUAGUUAAUUUUUAAUAUAUUCUGUAAUUUAUAAAAUAAAAUUAAAAUUAUUGUAAUAUAUAAUAUUAUAAUGUAAACAUUAACAAAAUUUAAGAUGUCUAUAUAUAAAACUUAAAUAAAUGAAAAAAAUACAUACAUUUAUUAAAUAUUAAAUAUUAAAUAUAAAUAAAUACGAGCUGAUUUGGGUAAAAUUUUAUACCUAUAUUUUAAAAUUGGAUCAAGUUUGAACAAACAUAAAAUGUAUUAAUAUUAUACUUAAACUCGACCCAACUCAUGAAUAUAUGUGUAAAUUUUUUCAUUGCCAACAAUAUGAUAAUUAAGAUUUUCUUCUAUUUUCAUAUUUAGAAAAUUAUAUUAAAUUUUAGUUUAUUAACUUAAAUUCCAAACUGAUUUUAGGAGAUAUUCAAUCUUGUACUAAUACUAUUUUAUUCUCUUAAUCUUAUUUGGAUUUGGUUUGAGAAGAAAAUUAAACUCGUAUUUCAAUUCAAUUCGGGUUUGAGUAGAGAAAAUCAGCAUAAUUAUUUUAGAAUGGUCUAGAUUGAACUUGGUUGGAUUAGGUCUACUUUGUACUAUGAGUUUUUAAUGAAUUUAGCUAUUCUAAUUUAAUCAUUUUUGGUUCUUUAUUUAUGUAAAUGUAUAUUUUCAAUAUGACUUUUUUCUAAAUGUGGUAAUAUGUCAUAUGACAUAAUCUCUUAACUAAUAAUUAAUUUUCUUUUUUUUUUAUAUAUAUUCAAUACUUAAUUAUAUAUAAAACCUAUUAACUUAGUUAACAUCAAAUGUCUAGUUAUCAUGAUUAUAGAAUAAAAGAGGUUAAGGUCUCUUUCUAUUAAAAAAUAUACUAUACUUUCUACAUUUAAAUUUUAAAAAAAAUAAUUAGUUUCCCUAAAGAAAAGGUUAGCCAUCCAUAUAGUGAAUAUUCAAAUCCUUGUGAUAACAGAAAAGAAUGAUUCGACAUUGUAAAACCAAAAAUGGAUUAGUGCUAAAAGCAAGGAAAUAAAUGAAUGGAUGAGCUUAUUCUAAGGGAUUAAGAUGGAAGUAUGGAAGAGGGGAUUGUGUGGUAUAAAAGGAGAGGUAUGCAUGCAAUUCAAAAUCAACUCAAGCUAAUCAUCUCCCUCUUCCUCUAGAGGGGAUAAACAGUAUAAUAAAUUACAUUGGAGACAUGGUCGGCGGAAGAAAGGGUAAAGAGAUGGCUCGAUUAACAUUAAUAUCGAUGCUAUUUCUCUGGGCAGGAUCAAUGCUUAUGGUCCAGGGCGGAGAUCCCACCCUUUUUUUUGAAUGGAACGUCACCUAUGGCACCAUUGCUCCUUUGGGAGUGCCAGUAAAGGGUAUUCUUAUUAACGGGCAAUUCCCGGGACCAAAUAUUAACUCUACCACCAACAACAAUAUUGUGAUCAAUGUAUUCAAUAACCUUGAUGAGCCAUUCCUUGUAACAUGGUAAGCGACUAUCAAGAGUAUUUUCUUUUUUACAUUAAUAUGAUUAUGCUAGUGAAGAGUUGAGCUAAUUAUAUGUGGAAAUGGGAUUUGUUGCAGGAACGGCAUUCAGCAUAGGAAGAACUCUUGGCAAGAUGGUGUUCUGGGAACCAACUGUCCUAUCCCCCGUGGGAAGAAUUACACAUAUAAAUUCCAGGUGAAGGAUCAGAUUGGCAGCUACAUCUACUAUCCCGUGACGGCUAUGCAUAAGGCGGUUGGUGGUUUCGGUGGCCUCCGUGUUAACAGCCGUCUACUCAUCCCUGUUCCCUACGCUGAUCCGGCUGAUGACUAUACUCUCUUAGUGGGAGACUUUUUCAACAAGGGACACACCAGCCUCAAGAAGAUUCUUGAUAGCGGUCGCAACCUUGGGAGAUGUGACGGUGUCCACCUUAAUGGGAAAGUUGCGAAAGGUGAUGGGAAGGAUGAACCUCUGUUUACGAUGGAGGCAGGCAAAACGUACAAGUACAGGAUUUGCAAUACGGGUAUCAAGACAUCUCUGAACGUCAGGUUCCAAGGCCACACCAUGAAAUUGGUUGAGAUGGAGGGUUCCCACACAAUGCAGAAUGACUAUGACUCCCUUGAUGUGCACGUUGGACAGUGCUUCAGUGUGCUUGUUACUGCCAACCAGGAACCAAGGGAUUACUAUGUGGUGGCCUCUACCCGUUUUACCAAACGUGAGGUUACAGCAACUGGCAUCAUCCGUUACAAGAAUGGCAAGGGAGCUGCCUCAUCCGAGUUGCCACCACCACCUGUUGGUUGGGCUUGGUCACUCAAUCAAUUCCGUACCUUCCGUUGGAACUUGACUUCUAACGCUGCUAGGCCUAAUCCUCAGGGCUCCUACAAAUAUGGUUCUAUUAACAUUACCCGCACCAUCAAGCUUGCCAACACUGCACAAAGAGUAGAUGGCAAGCUCCGAUAUGCUCUUAAUGGAGUCUCCUAUGUCGAACCAACCACUCCACUAAAACUUGCAGAAUACUAUGGCGUAGCCGACAAGGUUUUCAAGUAUGAUACCAUUCCCGAUGAGCCUCCAAGUGACAACACUAAGGUAACUUUGGCACCUAUUGUCCUCAACAUGACACAUAGAAACUUUGUGGAAAUCAUCUUCGAGAAUCACGAGACCGCCAUUCAGUCCUACCACUUGUCUGGCUACUCAUUCUUUGCUGUGGGGUAAGUAUAGCUUCUAACAUAGCCAAUACAUGUGGUGAUUUGCUUGAGUUGAAGUAAUAAGUUGUAUAAUGAUUUGUCGCAGCAUGGACGUUGGGAAAUGGAGCCCCGAGAAGAGGAUGAACUACAAUCUUCUUGACGCCGUGAGCAGACACACCAUACAGGUAUUCCCCAACUCCUGGUCAGCAAUCCUAUUGACAUUCGACAACUGCGGGAUGUGGAACCUGAGGUCGGAGAUAUGGGACAGGCAUUACCUUGGGCAACAGCUUUAUGCUAGUGUUAUUUCCCCUAACCGAUCCCUCAAGGAUGAGUACAACUUACCGGAAGGUGUAUUGACUUGCGGCAUCGUGCAAGGCAUGCCAAGGCCUCCACCUUUCAGCAGUUAAUUUAAUUAAGCUUAUAAAUCUGUAUCCAAUUAUAGAAUAUGGGGAGAGAGAGGGUGAGAAAAGCUGAGUUCUGUAUAAUAUUUAAUGAAAUAAAAGCUUUUGGAUCACUUUAUUAUUACUAAUUUUCGUGUGUUGCCCUCGAAUAUACACGCAUUUAAGUUAUUUUCAAUAUAAAAAACUGAUAUUUUCAAAAUUGUACAAUAUUUAAAGAUGAAUGAUUUAAAAAAAUGGUUUAUACUACUAAUUAUUUUGAUAUUUUCAAAGUUGAAAUAAAUAAAUAAUUAAGUUAUAUUAACAAAGAAAUUUAAAAUAAAUAAUCUAUAUAUAUUUUGUUGAUAUAUUCAUCAAUAUAAAUAAAUCAUUCUGCUAUGGCGGUUCAACUUUGUGUUUUUUUUUAUUCAUUUAUUUUUGUAAAUUUCAAAUUUGUAUAUUAGAUAUGUACUACUACUAGAUAUGUCAAAUUGUAAAUAUUUAUUUGUCAAAAAGGCUCUUUAAAAAAUGAAAAAAAAAUUAAUUAAGUCAUCGUAUGCAAUUUGUACCUAAUUAAGUCCCUAUCAUUAAUUAAAAUAAUCAAUUAAGCCACAUAAAAUAAAUUGAUCAGAUAGAGAUAGUAAUAACUUCUAUAGUAAUCUAUUAUUUUUCCUAUAAAAAUAUUUAAAAAUUAGAAAAAUAUUAUAAAAAAAUAUAAAUACUAUUAAAUAUUAAAAAAAAUAAGAAAAUUGGUAUAAACUUAAAAAAUUAUAAAAUUAAUAAAACAUAUUUAAAAUAUUUAAAAUUUUAUAAAAACAUUAAAUUUAAAACUCUAUAAAAAUAAUAAAAAUUAUAAAAAAAUAUUAGAAGUAUUAAAUUUGAUAUAAACUUAUAAAAAAUGAUAAAAAAAUAAUAAAACUUGAUUUGGGUCGGAUUAGUCGGUUGGACCGGCUAGAUCAAAAUUGGCAAGAUAUCGAUCCAGAGAAAGCCAUUAGACCGAUUGAUAUUGGAACUGGAUGGUUGAACCGAUUCUUUAUCCUUUUAAUAUAUAUAUUUUAUUUCUUAAUGUUUUAUUUAAUUGAACUGGACGGAUCAGUCGAAAUGGUAAAUCAAUGGCUUAAUUUAAUUUUUUAGAAAAAUUAUUAGAUUAAACCAUAAGCUACAAUGUCUCAUCAACUAAUUGGCUUGUCAAUUUAUUUUAACCGUCAAUGUGAUCAAUCUCGAACACCGUUAAUUAUUUUAAUUAAUGCCAAGAACUUAAUUAGUUGCGAAUUUAAUAUAAAAAUAGGCUUUUUGACAUAUAAAUCUAUUGAAAAUAAGAUUAUUAUUAUUAUUUUUAUCUCCCAAUAAUUACAUGGAAUAUUUGAAAUUCAAGCACUCCCUAGAUGACUCAGCUUGGAGACUAGCAAAACCAAUAAUCAACAUAAAACUAGUCGGAUUUAAGGCACUCUUCGCACGAAGAUGGACAAAUUGUAGAUGAUUAAGAAAUUACCUUAAAUUUAUACCAUUUAAACAUGUCAUCUUAUUUCUCGAAUCAUCCUAAGACUUACAAAGUCUCCUAUAACUUAAGCAUAAGUCACAUAAUACUUAUAAUUUAGUCCCUAUUAAUCGAUUUCAAGCAUAUACCACUUCUGUAUCUUAGCCGCAUAACAUUUAUAUUUUAGUUUCUAUUUGUAAUGGCCCAAAUUUGCUGCCCAAAUAAACCAAAAAAAAAAACAUAAAUUAAACAAAAUUAUAACAGUCCCUUAAAUACUUUAGUCCAAUUACAAAAAACCAGUAGCCCCAUAGCCCAAAUAUAAGGGCCCACUAACUGGAACAGACCCAAACAGCCUUAAAUCGAUGCUCAGCUUUGGCAAACCCUAGGACAAAAGGGGUCCUCGAGUCGCAGCAACCUCAGCAGCCUCCAGGCACCGUACACUCCUCCUGGCGCCACGCACGCUCCCGUACAUACGCCAGCACCACCCCGUACGCCCCGCACCAAUUUGCCAGCGCAUGUCCUCUGCUCCGUACCUGCGAACAAGACAAACACAGCAACAAACAGAGACAAAAGAGAAAAUAUUAUUUUUCUUUUAUUUGUUUUUCUUUCGUUUCGGAUAUAAAGCCAGAAAAUGUUCAUUGUAAUGAAAAAAGGGGCGCAUUUACGCAACAAAAAUAUACAAACAGAUACUAUAAAGAGAGAUUUUUUUUACGAACACAAGCAAUACGAAUACUUACAAAAAAAAGCAGAGGUGAUUUCUUUUCUUCCUCGAAUCCUCUUAGUUUUCCAUAUAUCAUUGCGUUUUUGGUUUAGGGGUCAUUCACCAUUAUCGUUUUGAAAAUAAAGAGAUGAACAAAGGAACGGUGAAAGAGGAGCUUACCUUGCGAAGCUAGCCGUCGUCCCCCCUUUUACUUCGUCGAAAUCGAAGUCUGAAUGAGGGUUUCAAAGGCGAAAACCCCUCUUUUAGGGCUCGGAUGCGCAGACCGUCGCUCGUACUGACGAAUUAGUGCUAAAAGGAGCAUUUGGAGGUCGAUUGAGCAACGAGAGAGGGGAAGGGGCUAGGGUUCGGCUGAAUAACUCAGUCUUCAGCCCUUUUAAAGGGUUAAAAGCGAUGCCGUUUCAAGCCCAUUACAAUGGCUCAAAAACGACGUCGUCGGAUGGAGCCUCGAUCUGAUCCGUUUAGCUGCCCCGACGACCCGCGCGUUUUCGCGAAGAGGGUUUAUUUACAGCAUCGGUCCCUCCCUGUUGCACCAUGUUUCAUUUGGCUCUUAUUUAUUUUUUUAUUUUUAUUAAUUUAGCUAUGUAAUUUAUACACGUUUGCAAAUGGACCGGCGCUUGAAUACAGCCUUUUAGGAUCUGGUAUAUUGUCAGUUUUAGUCCCUAGCUGUUUCCGCGCAUGGACUAUUGGUCCCUCCACUGUUUUUGUUUAGUUUCAAUUUUACCUUGUGUGUUUUAGUUUAAUUUUAAUUAGGUCUUUUAUUUUAUAACUUUAUAAUUUCUUUUAUUUACUUACUAGUAUAUUUUCAAGCAGCUAUGACAGUCUUUUUAGUGUUAUAAAUUUGUUUUUUUUGUAAGAUUAUUAUCAUACUUCGUAUAUCUUGAAUGUUUAUUUCUUUAGUGUUAUUAGGCAUAUAUAUGUUUUACAAAAAAUCCUAAUGC
rnacentral:lncRNA from 1 species